UAGGCAUUCCCUAGUAGCGGCGAGCGAGCGGGAAGAGCUCAAAUUUAUAAUCUGGCACCUUCGGUGUCCGAGUUGUAAUCUCUAGAAAUGUUUUCCGCGUUGGACCGCACACAAGUCUGUUGGAAUACAGCGGCAUAGUGGUGAGACCCCCGUAUAUGGUGCGGACGCCCAGCGCUUUGUGAUACAUUUUCGAAGAGUCGAGUUGUUUGGGAAUGCAGCUCAAAUUGGGUGGUAAAUUCCAUCUAAAGCUAAAUAUUGGCGAGAGACCGAUAGCGAACAAGUACCGUGAGGGAAAGAUGAAAAGCACUUUGGAAAGAGAGUUAACAGUACGUGAAAUUGUUGGAAGGGAAACGCUUGAAGUCAGACUUGCUUGCCGAGCAAUCGGUUUGCAGGCCAGCAUCAGUUUUCCGGGAUGGAUAAUGGUAGAGAGAAGGUAGCAGUUUCGGCUGUGUUAUAGCUCUCUGCUGGAUACAUCUUGGGGGACUGAGGAACGCAGUGUGCCUUUGGCGGGGGUUUCGACCUCUUCACACUUAGGAUGCUGGUGGAAUGGCUUUAAACGACCCGUCUUGACCC
rnacentral:rRNA from 1 species